CCCUUAGAUGUUAUGGGCCGCACGCGUGCUACACUGAGUGGAUCAGCGGGUCAGGUUGCGCGAAAGUGUUUCCUAAUCUUUAAAUCCGCUCGUGAUGGGGAUUGACGGUUGCAAUUUUCCGUCAUGAACGAGGAAUACCUUGUAAGCGCGGGUCAUCAUCCCGCGCUGAAUACGUCCCUGCCCUUUGUACACACCGCCCGUCGCUCCUACCGAUUGAGUGGUCCGGUGAGGCUUUGGGAUCUGAGCGGAAAGAGCGUUUCGCUGUUUCUGCCCGGAAAACUCAGUCGAACCUUAUCAUUUAGAGGAAGGAGAAGUCGUAACA
rnacentral:rRNA from 1 species